UAAGUAACCUGGCCUUUACAGGGGGAUAACUAUUGGAAACGAUAGCUAAGACCGCAUAGGUGUCAUAACCGCAUGAAGAUGAUAUGAAAUAUGCUACGGCAUAGGUAGAGGAUGGACUUAUGGCGCAUUAGCUAGUUGGAGGGGUAACGGCCCACCAAGGCGACGAUGCGUAGCCGACCUGAGAGGGUGACCGGCCACACUGGGACUGAGACACGGCCCAG
rnacentral:rRNA from 1 species